CCCCUCUCAGUCGCAUCUGGAGAGUUUCCAUUGUUCUAUCAGUCUCGACUUUGGGAGGGAGAGUCAAGCAGAGGUCUACCCAUUCCAUUCCUAGCCUGGGCAGUGGCUAGCGAGUGGAAGGCAAUCUGCCACAAGU